GAUGAACGCUAGCGGCAGGCCUAAUACAUGCAAGUCGAACGGGAUCCAGAUCAAAGCUUGCUUUGGUCUGGUGAGAGUGGCGCACGGGUGCGUAACGCGUGAGCAACCUACCCUUGUCAGGGGGAUAGCCCGGCGAAAGUCGGAUUAAUACCGCAUGACAUCAUUGAGAGGCAUCUUUCGAUGAUCAAAGAUUUAUCGGACAAGGAUGGGCUCGCGUGACAUUAGCUAGUUGGUAAGGUAACGGCUUACCAAGGCUGCGAUGUCUAGGGGCUCUGAGAGGAGAAUCCCCCACAAUGGUACUGAGACACGGACCAGACUCCUACGGGAGGCAGCAGUAAGGAAUAUUGGUCAAUGGACGGAAGUCUGAACCAGCCAUGCCGCGUGCAGGAAGACGGCCCUAUGGGUUGUAAACUGCUUUUAUACGGGAACAAACGUCGGUACGUGUACCGGUCUGAGUGUACCGUAAGAAUAAGGAUCGGCUAACUCCGUG
rnacentral:rRNA from 1 species